rnacentral:lncRNA from 1 species
CGGCCGAGCGAGCGCGGGGAAGACUCUGGCUGUGGGCAUUUCUAUGUCUCCUUUCUCCUCCCGAGCAAGGAAGGAAAGAGAGAAGGAAGGAAGGAAGCGAGGAAGGAGGGGACUGUCUCGAUGGAAGGUUCAGGCGGAGGCGCCCUCGCCUUGCUGGUGCACCGGCCGCAGAGUGGCUCCAGCCGCUGCCGGCUGGACCCGGGCGCGAGGAGACGGAUUGGUGAAUUUACCUGAGAAAUUGAAAAUCAAGAUUAUGAAAACGUGUGACUAG